rnacentral:rRNA from 1 species
UAAUUAUUUUAUUAUUAAUUAAUUGAUUUAGUUUUAUAUUUAAAAAAAGUAAUUUAUAUUUUAUUAAUUUGUAUGAAUAAAUAAUAUUUUAUUAUAGAGAAUUAGUAUUGUGAAAGAUUUAAAUUAUUUAAUUAAAAGAAUAAUUUAUUUUUAGUACCUUGUGUAUCAGGGUUUAUUAAUUAAAAUUUAAUAAUUAUAAAUUUCUCGAAUUUAAAAGAGCUAUAUUUAUAUAUUUUUUAUUGUGGAAUAAAUAAUAUUAAUAUUUAUAUUGAAGCGAAACACUAUUCGAUUUUAAAUAUAUCUAGUUUUUAAAGAAAAAAAUUAAAUUUUAUUUUUAUUUAUUAUAAUUUUAAAUUAUUAAUUUUAUAGUAGUAAAAUUUUAUAUUUUAAGGGAUGAGCUUUAAAAUAAAUUUAUAUAAAAUAUAUUAUUUAGAUUUUAAUAAGUAGAAUUAUAAGUUUUUAUCUUUAUUAGUGUUUUAUAACUAAUUAAAAUUAAAAAAUUUUUUUUAUUUUUUUUAUAUUAAUUAUUUAAAUAUAGGUUUAAAUUAUAAAAAUUUAGUAAUAAUGAUAAAAUUAGUAUAAUUUUAUAUAAAUUUGUUUUAUAUUAUAAAGGUUUUAUAAAGGAAUUCGGCAAAUAUAUUUUUCACCUGUUUAUUAAAAACAUGUCUUUUUGAUAAUAAUUUAAAGUCUGGCCUGCCCAAUGAAUUUUAAAUGGCCGCAGUAUCUUGACUGUGCAAAGGUAGCAUAAUCAUUAGUUUUUUAAUUGAAAGCUGGAAUGAAAGGUUGGAUGAAAAAAAGGCUGUCUCUAUAAAAAUUAAUUAGAAUUUUAUUUUUAAGUAAAAAAGCUUAAAUUAUAAUAGAAGACGAGAAGACCCUAUAGAGUUUUAUAUUAAUAUGAUUUAAUUUUUUUAGUAUUUAAAAUUUUGCUUUAUUUUAAUAUUUAGUUGGGGUGAUUAGAAAAUUAAUAAAACUUUUCUUUUAUAAUAUCAUUUAUUUAUGAUUAACUGAUCCUUAAUUUAAGAUUAAAAGAUAAAAUUACCUUAGGGAUAACAGCGUUAUUUUUUUUGAGAGUUCAAAUCGAAAAGAAAGAUUGCGACCUCGAUGUUGGAUUAAAAUAAAUUUUUGGUGUAGAAGCUAAAAUAAUUAGGUCUGUUCGACCUUUAAAAUUUUACAUGAUCUGAGUUUAAACCGGUGUGAGCC